UACGUAGGGGGCAAGCGUUAUCCGGAUUUACUGGGUGUAAAGGGAGCGUAGACGGCAUGGCAAGCCAGAUGUGAAAUACCGGGGCUCAACCCCGGGACUGCAUUUGGAACUGUUAAGCUGGAGUGCGGGAGGGGCAGGCGGAAUUCCUGGUGUAGCGGUGAAAUGCGUAGAUAUCAGGAGGAACACCGGCGGCGAAGGCGGCCUGCUGGACCGCGACUGACGUUGAGGCUCGAAAGCGUGGGGAGCGAACAGG
rnacentral:rRNA from 1 species